rfam:Picea glauca, whole genome shotgun sequence.
CAAAAGGCUUUCCAAAGCCACAAAGAUGAUAAUGAAGGGCUUAU